rnacentral:rRNA from 1 species
UGGUGGAGUGAUUUGUCUGGUUAAUUCCGUUAACGAACGAGACCUUAACCUGCUAAUUAGACACUAGUAUUUUUACUAGUUGCCUUCUUAGAGGGACUAUGUGUUCAAGCACAUGAAAGUUUGAGGCAAUAACA